GAUGAACGCUGGCGGCGUGCCUAAUACAUGCCAGUCGAGCGAACAGACGAGGAGCUUGCUCCUCUGACGUUAGCGGCGGACGGGUGAGUAACACGUGGAUAACCUACCUAUAAGACUGGGAUAACUUCGGGACACCGGAGCUAAUACCGGAUAAUAUAUUGAACCGCAUGGUUCAAUAGUGAAAUACGGUUUUGCUGUAUCUUAUAGCUGGAUCCGCGCCGCAUUAGCUAGUUGGUAAGGUAAAGGCUUACGAAGGCAACGAGGCGUAGCCGACCGCAGAGGGGGGUCGGCCACACUGGAACUGAACCAGCGUCCAGGCUCCUACGAGACGCCGCAGUAGGGAAUCGUCCGCAAUAGGCGAGAAUCUGACAGAGCAAGGGCGCGUGAGUGGUAAAGGCGUUCGGUUCGGGAUACUCUGUUUUGGGGGGAAAACAAAUGUGGAAGUAGAUGAACACGUAUUGACGGUACCGAGUCAGAAAGCCACGGCUAACUACGUG
rnacentral:rRNA from 1 species